AACCGCCAUCACAAACCCUUCGGUUGCCAUUAUUAUGAUUAUUUUCCAUUCUAACUGUCCUAAUAGAACAUCUCAAGGGGAAACUCGAGCAGGAAUUCAGUGACCUCACUGCUAANNNNNNNNNNNNNUUUAAAGCCUUAGAAAAUGUAAAAAAGUAAGCAUAUUUCAUGUCCCUCGUACGUUUAUAGCCUAAAGCUCUGCCGGAGACUGGACAGAGCGGGAGAGUGACUGAGAGAGAGCACUAAAACCCUCCCCUACGCCCUUUUUACCGCGUUUUUUUCUUUUUUC
rnacentral:misc_RNA from 1 species